UGGGGAAUAUUGCACAAUGGGCGAAAGCCUGAUGCAGCAACGCCGCGUGAGUGAUGAAGGUCUUCGGAUUGUAAAGCUCUGUCUUUUGGGACGAUAAUGACGGUACCAAAGGAGGAAGCCACGGCUAACUACGUGCCAGCAGCCGCGGUAAUACGUAGGUGGCGAGCGUUGUCCGGAUUUACUGGGCGUAAAGGGUGCGUAGGCGGAUGUUUAAGUGAGAUGUGAAAUACCCGGGCUUAACUUGGGUGCUGCAUUUCAAACUGGAUAUCUAGAGUGCAGGAGAGGAGAAUGGAAUUCCUAGUGUAGCGGUGAAAUGCGUAGAGAUUAGGAAGAACACCAGUGGCGAAGGCGAUUCUCUGGACUGUAACUGACGCUGAGGCACGAAAGCGUGGGUAGCAAACAGGAUUAGAUACCCUGGUAGUCCACGCCGUAAACGAUGAGUACUAGGUGUAGGAGGUAUCGACCCCUUCUGUGCCGCAGUAAACACAUUAAGUACUCCACCUGGGAAGUACGAUCG
rnacentral:rRNA from 1 species